CAGUCGCCGCGGUAACACGGAGGGAGCUAGCGUUGUUCGGAAUUACUGGGCGUAAAGCGCACGUAGGCGGCUAUUCAAGUCAGGGGUGAAAGCCCGGGGCUCAACCCCGGAACUGCCUUUGAAACUAGAUAGCUUGAAUCUUGGAGAGGCGAGUGGAAUUCCGAGUGUAGAGGUGAAAUUCGUAGAUAUUCGGAAGAACACCAGUGGCGAAGGCGACUCGCUGGACAAGUAUUGACGCUGAGGUGCGAAAGCGUGGGGAGCAAACAGGAUUAGAUACCCCCGUAGUCCCUGUCUCUUAUAC
rnacentral:rRNA from 1 species